AACUUUUCCUUUUUCUGCUUUCGAAUAGAUAAACUGAGAUGCAUAAUGGUAUCUCUCGUAUUUCGGGCAUCCAUAAUACCAAAGUCUGCAUGUGUUUAGAAAUAGAGGCAAUGGAGGUGGGUUGCAGAACUUUUGAACCGCUGGGUAAUCGUAGUCACAUUUGCAUU
ensembl:ncRNA K02F3.13 ncRNA